GGCAAGUGGGUCCCACUCGGCCACGCCCUUGCCUCCUGAGCUCCUAGUGGCCGCCGCCCCGCUCCUUGGGCUCCUCAGCCGCUCCUCCUUCCGGUCCCUCCUCAACAAGAUGGCCGGAAGAACCCGCGACGACGCCUGCAGGGCCGCCUGCCUUGGGUACUUGAACGUGUGAAUAACCGGCCAUUCGCGACUCCAGCGGCCCAGGCACACGUUCCCCCCGGGUAGGUGUGUGGAGCGGCCGGGGCGUAGCCACGGCACCAGCCCAGGAGGGAAAGACGGAGAGGUACGGACGUCGCCCGCCAUCUCUCCGGAAGCUCCUGCCGGGCUGGGACCCCGGCGGAAAGUCUUGCCGAGAGGUCGCCCCCUGCCGCCGUGGAGGCCGUCGGCCAGAGCGACCGGAGGCGGAGUUUGCAGCCUGGCAAGGAGAAUGGAGCGCUCCGGGGUUGGGCGGGCGGGGGAGCCGGGAGCCGGGCGCCUAGAAUGGAGUUCCCCCGGGAGGAGCCCGAAGCAGCGUCCUUCCGGGAGCACCCAGGGAAGAACCUGGAGGGGCUGCCGUUGGUUGAAUUUUGUAUAAUUUGACAAGUAUUUAAAACAUUCAAUUAAAAAGAAUCCAUGGGUUCAUAUUACCACAACUACUACACUAAUAUUAAUAUAAAAGGAGAGAGAAGUAAAGAUGCUUUUUCAAAACAGUAGAAUGACAACCAAUAAAUAUAGGAAUUAUAAAAUUGGAAAUCCACCAUUUUGCAGCAAUCGUGGUAAUAAUUGAUUCAGCCAAGAAUCACCAGUGGAAGCUGAAACUAUUAGGUGAAAGACUGGGAAUAGGUUAUUCACACAGUCUUAAAGUAACACCUCCUGGAUUACUUAUUAAUUAUAAAGGGGAAAUUUUUCAGGCAAUGGAGACAUUUGCUGGACAUUGCCUUAGCCAAAAGUCAAACUUAGCAUUUCCAGUAAUAGGACAAACUGAGACUGUGUGCCUCCUGGUGUGAGGAACAGGAAGAACACACAUCAUCUGGGUAGUAUUUCUAAUAGGCUCAACCUGAUUAAUGAAGAAACAAUCAGACAAAUCAAAAUUGAGGAACAUUCUGCAAAGCAAUUGACUUGAGUUCUUAAAAGAUGGCAAUAUCUUUUUUUUUUUUUUUUUUGAGAUAGAGUCUCACUCUGUCUCCCAGGCUGAAGUGCAGUGGUGCGAUCUCGGCUCACUGCAACCUCCGCCUCCCCGGUUCAAGCAAUUCUCCUGCCUCAGCCUCCGAAGUAUCUGGGAUUACAGGCACGUGACACCAUACCCAGCUAAUUUUUGGAUUUUUAGUAGAGCCAGGGUUUCACUAUGUUGGCCAGGGUGGUCUCAAACUCCUGACCUCAAGUGAUCCCGCCUCAGCCUCCCAAAGUGCUGGGAUUACAGGCGUGAGCCACCGCACCCAGCCAAAAGUUGGCAAUAUUGUGAAAGAACAAAGUGAUAGGGCAGCAGUCUGCAGAUCAAAGAAGGGUCAAGAAACUACAACUUACAUGCAUGGUGUGAUUCUGGACUGGAUCUUGGUUUGAGUCUUGGUUUAGGAGGAAAACACAAUUAUAAGAGACAUUAUUGCAAAAGUUGGAUAAAUUUGAAUAUGAACUCAAUAUUAGAUAAUAUAUCAGUUUCCUGGGUGCAAUAAUUUUAUGUAGUUAUGAAGGAGAAUGACUGUUCUUAGGACAUACAGACAAAAGUAUUUACAGGAGAAGUGUCUUGAUGUCUGCAACAAAUUCCCAAAUGGUUCAUAUAUAUGUGUUAUAUAUAUGUUUAUAUAUAUGUAAAUGUAAAUAUAUGUGUGUGUGUAUGUGUAUUCAGAGAGAAAAGCAAAUACAAUGUGACUUUUGAACAAUGUCAGUUAAGCAUUCUGACUAACCCACAUAUACAUUUUGACUCCCCAAAAACUUUACUAAUAGGCUACUGUUGACCAGAAGCCUUACUGAUAAUAUAGUUAUUUUGUAUGUUAUAUGUAUUAUAUACUGUAUUCUUACAAUAAAGUAAGCCAGAGAAAAGAAAAUAUUAAGAAAAUCGUAAUGAAAAUACAUUUACAGUACCGUA
rnacentral:lncRNA from 1 species